ACUGCAUGCUUAGUACGGCGAGUGAAGCGGCAAAAGCUCAAAUUUGAAAUCUGGCACCUUCGGUGUCCGAGUUGUAAUUUGAAGAAGGUAACUUUGGAGUUGGCUCUUGUCUAUGUUCCUUGGAACAGGACGUCACAGAGGGUGAGAAUCCCGUGCGAUGAGAUGCCCAAUUCUAUGUAAAGUGCUUUCGAAGAGUCGAGUUGUUUGGGAAUU
rnacentral:rRNA from 1 species